CCCUUAGAUGUUCUGGGCCGCACGCGCGCUACACUGAUACGUUCAGCGAGUAUAUAACCUUGAUUGGAAAAUCUGGGUAAUCUUUUGAAUGCGUAUCGUGCUAGGGAUAGAUUAUUGCAAUUAUUAAUCUUGAACGAGGAAUUCCUAGUAAACGCAGAUCAUCAAUCUGCAUUGAUUACGUCCCUGCCCUUUGUACACACCGCCCGUCGCACCUACCGAUUGGAUGGUCCGGUGAAGCCUCGGGAUUGUGGUUCUUGCCGCUUUAUUGUGGCGUGACCGCGAGAACUUGUCUAAACCUUAUCAUCUAGAGGAAGGUGAAGUCGUAACA
rnacentral:rRNA from 1 species